rnacentral:tRNA from 1 species
AAGUUUGAAGCAAAAAAUUGCAUUUAGUUUCGACCUAAAAUUAUGAUAUAGUAUAUCCUUACUUU